AUUGAACGCUGGCGGCAGGCUUAACACAUGCAAGUCGAACGAGUGGCGGACGGGUGAAUAAUGCUUGGGAAUCUAGCUUAUGGAGGGGGAUAACUACGGGAAACUGUAGCUAAUACCGCGUACCAUAGGAUGAGCCCAAGUGGGAUUAGGUAGUUGGUGGGGUAAAGGUUCACCAAGCCGACGAUCUCUAGCGGGUCGGAGAGGAGGACCAGCAACACGGGUAAUGGGACACGGGCCAUACCCCUAAGGGGUGCAGCAGUGGGGAAUAUUGCACAAUGGGCGAAAGCCUGAUGCAGGCAUGCCCCGUGGAUGAAGAAGGCCUUCGGGUUGUAAAGUACUUUCAGCGAGGAGGAGUUACUCGCAGAAGAAGCACCGGCUAACUCCGUGCCAGCAGCCGCGGUAAUAC
rnacentral:rRNA from 1 species